GAGAAUCUCGCCCUGGGGCUGGGUGUGGGAAACGCCCCCCCUGCCCCGGGGAGGGGGUGAGAGAAUUCCGCCCUGGGGCUGGGUGUGGGAAACGCUCCCCCCCGGGAGGGGGUGAGACAAUCCUGCCCUGGGGCUGGGUGUGGGAAACGCCCCCCCCCCGGGGAGGGGGUGAGAGAAUCCCGCCCUGGGGCUGGGUGUGGGAAACGCCCCCCCCCCCCCGGGAGGGGGUGAGAGAAUCCCACCCUGGGGCUGGGUGGGGGAAACGCCCCCUGGGGGGGGAGGGAGGGGGGAGACUUCCUACUUUAUUAUGGAAAAAGACUCCUGGCGAAGUCUAGCAUGAGGAGGACACUGCCACACGCCCUGGAGCACAGCAUGAGCUCUGCCCUUCUCUGCUCUGAGACCUGUGGUGUCCACGAAAGGACCUGGUCUGUUAGCAGAGCCAUUAGCACCAGCCCUUCCUGGGAUGCAGUGUGGUUUGAGUGUGUGAUAGCAGCAGC